UACAGAGGUGGCAAGCGUUGUUCGGAAUUACUGGGCGUAAAGGGCGCGUAGGCGGUUCGUUAAGUCCUGUGUGAAAUCCCCCGGCUCAACUGGGGAACUGCACAGGAAACUAGCGGGCUUGAGUUCGGGAGAGGGAAGCGGAAUUCCGGGUGUAGCGGUGAAAUGCGUAGAUAUUAGGAAGAACACCGGUGGCGAAGGCGGCUAUCUGGACAGAAACUGACGCUGAGGCGCGAAAGCUAGGGGAGCAAACAGG
rnacentral:rRNA from 1 species